CAUCAUACGAAUCUGUCAGUUGUUGCACCGGUCAUUCGUUAAAACCCCACCGUUGUCUCAAUACUUUCUUAGAGCGUGAUUUUCACUUAAUUCAACCUUUCUUUACUGAAUACUCCUCUACUGGUCGCAGGCUUAUAACUCCUGAAGGACCGGGUUUGGAUGAUAUUUGCAGAAAAAUUAAAGACCUAACUGAAUGUUACAAGCCACUGGUCAGAGACUGUAAGCUAUAUGAGCACUAUGUAAAUUUGGAACGAAUUAUAAGAAGUCUUGAA